rnacentral:tRNA from 1 species
UGUUCUGUGGCUUAGUUGGUUAAAGCUCCGGCCUAGUUAGUAUAGAGUUGUGAGUUCAAAUCCCACUAGAACGC